rnacentral:rRNA from 1 species
UACGGGGGGGGCAAGCGUUGUUCGGAAUUACUGGGCGUAAAGGGCUCGUAGGCGGCCAACUAAGUCAGACGUGAAAUCCCUCGGCUUAACCGGGGAACUGCAUCUGAUACUGGAUGGCUUGAGUUCGGGAGAGGGAUGCGGAAUUCCGAGUGUAGAGGUGAAAUUCGUAGAUAUUCGGAAGAACACCAGUGGCGAAGGCGGCUCACUGGACUGGUAUUGACGCUGAGGUGCGAAAGCGUGGGGAGCAAACAGG